GAUGAACGCUGGCGGCGUGCCUAAUACAUGCAAGUCGAGCGAACAGACGAGGAGCUUGCUCCUCUGACGUUAGCGGCGGACGGGUGAGUAACACGUGGAUAACCUACCUAUAAGACUGGGAUAACUUCGGGAAACCGGAGCUAAUACCGGAUAAUAUAUUGAACCGCAUGGUUCAAUAGUGAAAGACGGUUUUGCUGUCACUUAUAGAUGGAUCCGCGCCGCAUUAGCUAGUUGGUAAGGUAACGGCUUACCAAGGCAACGAUGCGUAGCCGACCUGAGAGGGUGAUCGGCCACACCGGAACUGAGACACGGUCCAGACUCCUACGGGAGGCAGCAGUAGGGAAUCUUCCGCAAUGGGCGAAAGCUUGACGGAGCAACGCCGCGUGAGUGAUGAAGGUCUUCGGAUCGUAAAACUCUGUUAUUAGGGAAGAACAAAUGUGUAAGUAACUACGCACGUCUUGACGGUACCUAAUCAGAAAGCCACGGCUAACUACGUG
rnacentral:rRNA from 1 species